AUCCGGGUUGCGGACAGUGUCUGGUGGGUAGUUUGACUGGGGCGGUCUCCUCCCAAAGAGUAACGGAGGAGCACGAAGGUUAGCUAAUCCUGGUCGGACAUCAGGAGGUUAGUGCAAUGGCAUAAGCUAGCUUGACUGCGAGAGUGACGGCUCGAGCAGGUGCGAAAGCAGGUCAUAGUGAUCCGGUGGUUCUGAAUGGAAGGGCCAUCGCUCAACGGAUAAAAGGUACUCCGGGGAUAACAGGCUGAUACCGCCCAAGAGUUCAUAUCGACGGCGGUGUUUGGCACCUCGAUGUCGGCUCAUCACAUCCUGGGGCUGAAGUAGGUCCCAAGGGUAUGGCUGUUCGCCAUUUAAAGUGGUACGCGAGCUGGGUUUAGAACGUCGUGAGACAGUUCGGUCCCUAUCUGCCGUGGGCGCUGGAGAAUUGAGGGGGGCUGCUCCUAGUACGAGAGGACCGGAGUGGACGCAUCACUGGUGUUCGGGUUGUCAUGCCAAUGGCACUGCCCGGUAGCUAAAUGCGGAAAAGAUAAGUGCUGAAAGCAUCUAAGCACGAAACUUGCCCCGAGAUGAGUUCUCCCUGACUCCUUGAGAGUCCUGAAGGAACGUUGAAGACGACGACGUUGAUAGGUCGGGUGUGUAAGCGCAGCGAUGCGUUGAGCUAACCGAUACUAAUGAACCGUGAGGCUUAACCUU
rnacentral:rRNA from 1 species